UACAGGGGGUGCAAACGUUGCUCGGAAUCAUUGGGCGUAAAGCGCACGUAGGCGGUCUGUUAUGUCGGAUGUGAAAGCCCUCGGCUCAACUGAGGAAGUGCAUCCGAAACUGGCAGGCUAGAGUACUAAAGAGGGUCGCGGAAUUCCCGGUGUAGAGGUGAAAUUCGUAGAUAUCGGGAGGAACACCGAUGGCGAAGGCGGCCCCCUGGUUGGAUACUGACGCUGAUACGCGAAAGCGUGGGGAGCAAACAGG
rnacentral:rRNA from 1 species